AUUCUGGACAAUGGUCUCAAGCCUCAUCCAGCCAUGCCGCGUAAAUGAAGAAGUCCUACGUGUAGUAAAGCCCUUUCUUACGGAAAAAAAUCGCCCAACCUAAUACCCUGCUCGUCCGAUGGUCCCGUCAUAAGAAGCACCGCGUAACUACGUGCCACCAGCCGCGGUAAUAAGUACGGUGCGAGCGUUAAUCGGAAUUACUGGGCGUAAAGCGUGCGCAGGCGGUUGAUUAAGACAGGCGUGAAAUCCCCGGGCUUAACCUGGGAACUGCGGUUGUGACUGGUCAGCUAGAGUACGGCAGAGGGGGGUGGAAUUCCACGUGUAGCAGUGAAAUGCGUAGAGAUGUGGAGGAACACCGAUGGCGAAGGCAGCCCCCUGGGCCGAUACUGACGCUCAUGCACGAAAGCGUGGGUAGCAAACAGG
rnacentral:rRNA from 1 species